rnacentral:rRNA from 1 species
UACGUAGGGGGCGAGCGUUGUCCGAAGUUACUGGGCGUAAAGCGCGCGUAGGCGGGUUGGCAAGUCUGCUGUGAAAGCCCGGAGCUCAACUCCGGAGGGUCGGUGGAUACUGCCAGUCUUGAAGUGGCUAGGGGGAGAUGGAAUUACCGGUGUAGCGGUGAAAUGCGUAGAGAUCGGUAGGAACACCAGUGGCGAAGGCAGGUCUCUGGGCAUUAACUGACGCUGAGGAGCGAAAGCGUGGGGAGCGAACAGG